rnacentral:rRNA from 1 species
AUAUCUCGGCUCUCGCAUCGAUGAAGAACGUAGCGAAAUGCGAUACUUGGUGUGAAUUGCAGAAUCCCGUGAACCAUCGAGUUUUUGAACGCAAGUUGCGCCCGAAGCCUCCUGGUUAGGGCACGUCUGCCUGGGCGU